AUUGAACGCUGGCGGCAGGCUUAACACAUGCAAGUCGAGCGGGGUGAUGGUGCUUGCACUAUCACUUAGCGGCGGACGGGUGAGUAAUGCUUAGGAAUCUGCCUAUUAGUGGGGGACAACAUCUCGAAAGGGAUGCUAAUACCGCAUACGUCCUACGGGAGAAAGCAGGGGAUCACUUGUGACCUUGCGCUAAUAGAUGAGCCUAAGUCGGAUUAGCUAGUUGGUGGGGUAAAGGCCGACCAAGGCGACGAUCUGUAGCGGGUCUGAGAGGAUGCUCCGCCACACUGGGACUGAGACACGGCCCAGACUCCUACGGGAGGCAGCAGUGGGGAAUAUUGGACAAUGGGGGGAACCCUGAUCCAGCCAUGCCGCGUGUGUGAAGAAGGCCUUAUGGUUGUAAAGCACUUUAAGCGAGGAGGAGGCUCUUUUGGUUAAUACCCAAGAUGAGUGGACGUUACUCGCAGAAUAAGCACCGGCUAACUCUGUGCCAGCCGCCGCAGUAAUAC
rnacentral:rRNA from 1 species